rnacentral:tRNA from 1 species
GCCUCUGUGGCGGAAUGGUAGACGCAGCAGACUCAAAAUCUGCCGUCCUUCGAGGAUGUGCUGGUUCAAGUCCAGUCGGGGGCACCA